AUCGUUGCCCAAUCCCUAUUGCAGUGCAAUAGGAAUUUCUAGGGCAAUGAUGGCUUCCCAUGAGCUUGUUGCCUCGCGGUUGGUUGAAAAUCGAGUCCUUGGUGGGGUGUGCCAUGAUAGAUGGUGGUCGAGUUAGCACGAUACCGAUCGUGUGCAUGCUCCCCAAAAUAUGGCCUCUAUGACCCACAUGCGUCUUUUGACGCACA
rnacentral:misc_RNA from 1 species